rnacentral:rRNA from 1 species
UACAGAGGUCUCAAGCGUUGUUCGGAUUUAUUGGGCGUAAAGAGCGUGUAGGCGGCCAGGUAGGUCUGCUGUGAAAACUCGAGGCUCAACCUCGAGAUGUCGGCGGAAACCACUUGGCUAGAGUCCGGAAGAGGAGAGUGGAAUUCCUGGUGUAGCGGUGAAAUGCGCAGAUAUCAGGAGGAACACCGGUGGCGAAGGCGGGUCUCUGGGCCGAUACUGACGCUGAGGAGCGAAAGCGUGGGGAGCGAACAGG